GAUCAUGGCUCAGGAUGAACGCUAGCGGCAGGCUUAACACAUGCAAGUCGAGGGGCGGCAUAAUGGAUAGCAAUAUCUAUGGUGGCGACCGGCGCACGGGUGCGUAACGCGUAUGCAACCUACCUUUAACAGGGGGAUAACACUGAGAAAUUGGUACUAAUACCCCAUAAUAUCAUAGAAGGCAUCUUUUAAUGGUUGAAAAAUUCCGAUGGUUAGAGAUGGGCAUGCGUUGUAUUAG
rnacentral:rRNA from 1 species